CCCCACCCAGGGUCACACCUGGAGAGUUUACAGUACUCUGCCAGUUUCGACUAUGGGAGGGAGAGUCAAGCAGAGGCCUAUCCAUUUCAAUCCUAGCUUGGGCAGUGGGUAGAGAGUGGAAGGCAAUCUGCUACCAGU